AAUAUUGGACAAUGGGCGAAAGCCUGAUCCAGCCAUGCCGCGUGUGUGAAGAAGGUCUUCGGAUUGUAAGGCCCUUUAAGUGGGGGGGAAGGCAGGUAGGUUAAUACCUUGCUUUUUUACGUUUACGAACAAAUAAGCACCCGGCAACCUCGGUCCCGGCGGCCGCGUUAAUACGAAGGGUGCAAGCGUUAAUCGGAAUUACUGGGCGUAAAGCGCGCGUAGGUGGUUUGUUAAGUUGGAAGUGAAAGCCCCGGGCUCAACCUGGGAACUGCUUUCAAAACUGGCAAGCUAGAGUAUGGCAGAGGGUGGUGGAAUUUCCUGUGUAGCGGUGAAAUGCGUAGAUAUAGGAAGGAACACCAGUGGCGAAGGCGACCACCUGGGCUAAUACUGACACUGAGGUGCGAAAGCGUGGGGAGCAAAC
rnacentral:rRNA from 1 species